rnacentral:rRNA from 1 species
GAUGAACGCUGGCGGCGUGCCUAAUACAUGCAAGUCGAGCGAACGGACGAGAAGCUUGCUUCUCUGGUGUUAGCGGCGGACGGGUGAGUAACACGUGGAUAACCUACCUAUAAGACUGGGAUAACUUCGGGAAACCGGUGCUAAUACCGGAUAAUAUUUUGAACCGCAUGGUUCAAGAGUAAAAGACGGUCUUGCUGUCACUUAUAGAUGGAUCCGCUCUGCAUUAGCUAUUUGGUAAGGUAACGGCCUACCAAGGGAACGAUCCAUAGCCGACCGGAGAGGUUGACCGGCCAAUCUGGAAUUGAGAAACGCUCCAGCUCCCUACGGGAGGAAGAAUAAGGGAUUCUUCGGAAAUGGGCGAAAGCCUGACGGAGAAACGCGGCGUGAGGGAUGAAGUUUUUCGGAUCGUAAAAUCCGGUUAUUAGGGAAGAACAUAGGUGUAAGUAACUGUGCACAUCGUGACGGUACCUAAUCAGAAAGCCACGGCUAACUACGUG